rnacentral:rRNA from 1 species
GAUGAACGCUGGCGGCGUGCCUAAUACAUGCAAGUCGAACGAACAGACGAGGAGCUUGCUCCUCUGACGUUAGCGGCGGACGGGUGAGUAACACGUGGAUAACCUACCUAUAAGACUGGGAUAACUUCGGGAAACCGGAGCUAAUACCGGAUAAUAUAUUGAACCGCAUGGUUCAAUAGUGAAAGACGGUUUUGCUGUCACUUAUAGAUGGAUCCGCGCCGCAUUAGCUAGUUGGUAAGGUAACGGCUUACCAAGGCAACGAUGCGUAGCCGACCUGAGAGGGUGAUCGGCCACACUGGAACUGAGACACGGUCCAGACUCCUACGGGAGGCAGCAGUAGGGAAUCUUCCGCAAUGGGCGAAAGCCUGACGGAACAACGCCGCGUGAGUGAUGAAGGUCUUCGGAUCGUAAAACUCUGUUAUUAGGGAAGAACAAAUGUGUAAGUAACUAUGCACGUCUUGACGGUACCUAAUCAGAAAGCCACGGCUAACUACGUG